GGCUUGAUGGCUCAGGUGGUUAGAGCACCGUGAUUAAUACGCGGAGGUCAUGAGUUCGAUCCUCAUUCAAGCCA
rnacentral:tRNA from 1 species